rfam:Sphaerobolus stellatus SS14 unplaced genomic scaffold SPHSTscaffold_9, whole genome shotgun sequence.
GGUUUUAUGGGGUAGUGGUUAGCCCAUGAGAUUUUGAUUUAAUGAUCCUUCUCAUGACCCCGGUUCGAGUCCGGGUAAGACCU